rnacentral:lncRNA from 1 species
AUGAAAGAGGAGCAAGUCAAGUCAGUUUGUGUGAUGGCAGAGGGUUUGAUGUUUGUUUCAGUAAAUGUCAGCACAUCUGAUACCAACUCUUCCUGCUGUUCUCUCUCAGUCUCUCAGUUGAGAGACUUCCCCUCUUCUGGUUUGUACAUACCUGCCUUGAAGCCUGUUAUCUCAAUCCCCUGUCUUCUGACAGGAUUUUAAAUUUGAACCAGAAAGCACAUGGUGCUGCAGGUAGAAGUUCCGGUUAACCACGUUGGGCCUUGUGAAGUGUGUGUGGGAAGAAGAAUCAAUUUAUAUAAAUUUAUAAUUUAUGUACAAUAAACUGCUGACUCAUGGUAGCCUCUGAUGUUUACCAUCACACUGCAUGUUUUCUGACUUGACUUGAGUUGAGUAUGGCUUGCCACAGUUCAAAAGAACAGAGUAUACAUGGUUCCUUAUACAUGAGGGGCUCUGAAAUGAAUGAAAGAAUAAAGGAAUAAAUAAAUUGACGCAUGCCUGAAUGCAAUUAAGAUAUGCUAGCAUGAGUUGGCAAAAGAUCUUGUCUUAAUCAUAAGCUAGGGACACAUCAUGGUUUGCAGGGGAAAGACAUUUCAUCGCUCACUAACUCAUUCAGAUCAUUCAUUCAUGUAUUUAUUUUACACAUAUGAUUUAUUUAAAACCCUAUUUUGUGCUAAGUGCUGUGGUAUCUUCUGAAUGUAGAGUGGAAAGAAAACCUGAGAUGGUCCUUGCACUCAAGAAUUUAUAUUCUGGUGGGAGACAAACAGUAUCAAUCUGUAAACUGAUAAAAGUGAAGGCAAUUUUCAGGAUUGUUAAAUGGAUAAUAUUUAGAUAAUACAGUUAUUAGGAAAGGCCUGUUUGAAGAGACUUGAAGAAGUAGCCAUGUCCAGAGCCAUAGGUGGAAAGUUCCAUAGAGAUGGAUGGUCUGGCAGGAGGUAGCUUGCGGGGACUCAGUGUGGAAAGAACAGAGGAAGAGCAGAGUGGGCUCAGCUGGGGGAAUGCCUGCCCGAUCACGCCAUGUUGUGGAGAGAGACCCCAGUUAACAGCAAAUUGUAUUGUAAAAACUCAUUUGUAAGUUCAUUGCAGGGAACUUGGAAGACAUUUACUUGUAGAAGGAACAUUAUGUGUGAUUGUCAGUUUGGUAGCCUGCAAAAACCCACUCACCUGUAAUGUCUCUACAGCCAGACCACCAGUAGGAAAAGACGUCAUAAGAUCUGUUCAGUGAGGCGACCCACUGUCCUUGUGCUUCAACAAGCUCUGGCACGGAUCUCUCCAUUGUUGUGCAGUUGCUCAGUUGUGUUUGACUGUUUGCGACCCCAUGGAUUGCAGCAUGCCAGGCCUCCCUGUCCUUCACCAUCUCCAGGAGUUUGCUCAAACUCAUACACGUUGACCCUCCAUGGUGACCUCAAAUACAAGCUGACUGGCUUUCAGAUUGAUGUUCAUCAUGCUUACCAUGUUAAGGCUACCCAUUUCCUAUUCUACCAGUGGCAGUUUUUUUUUUUCUUUUUUCUGUUUUUUGUUUUGUCUUGAAUUGUUAAGAAUAUAUGUGACAUUUUACUAAAUGUCUUUUC